CCUACGGGAGGCAGCAGUGGGGGAUAUUGUACAAUGGGGGGAACCCUGAUGCAGCGACGCCGCGUGGGUGAAGGAGUAUUUCGGUAUGUAAAGCCCUAUCGGCAGGGAAGAAGCAAGACGGUACCUGACUAAGAAGCCCCGGCUAACUACGUGCCAGCAGCCGCGGUAAUACGUAGGGGGCGAGCGUUAUCCGGAUGCACUGGGUGUAAAGGGAGCGUAGACGGCCAUGCAAGCCAGGGGUGAAAGCCCGGGGCCCAACCCCGGGACUGCCCUUGGAACUGCAUGGCUGGAGUGCGGCAGGGGCAGGCGGAAUUCCUGGUGUAGCGGUGAAAUGCGUAGAUAUCAGGAGGAACACCGGUGGCGAAGGCGGCCUGCUGGACCGCGACUGACGUUGAGGCUCGAAAGCGUGGGGAGCGAACAGGAUUAGAUACCCCAGUAGUC
rnacentral:rRNA from 1 species